rfam:Asian citrus Psyllid, Diaphorina citri - Florida Strain, whole genome shotgun sequence.
GCCUAGUUAGCUUAGUUUUGGUUGGUAGUGCGUCUGCCUUGUAAGCGCUAAGCCGCGGGUUCGAUUCCCGCCCGGGGCG